AUUGAACGCUGGCGGCAUGCCUUACACAUGCAAGUCGAACGGUAACAGGUUAAGCUGACGAGUGGCGAACGGGUGAGUAAUGUAUCGGAACGUGCCCAGUCGUGGGGGAUAACUGCUCGAAAGAGCAGCUAAUACCGCAUACGACCUGAGGGUGAAAGCGGGGGAUCGCAAGACCUCGCGCGAUUGGAGCGGCCGAUAUCAGAUUAGGUAGUUGGUGAGGUAAAGGCUCACCAAGCCGACGAUCUGUAGCUGGUCUGAGAGGACGACCAGCCACACUGGGACUGAGACACGGCCCAGACUCCUACGGGAGGCAGCAGUGGGGAAUUUUGGACAAUGGGCGCAAGCCUGAUCCAGCCAUGCCGCGUGCGGGAAGAAGGCCUUCGGGUUGUAAACCGCUUUUGUCAGGGAAGAAAAGGUUCUGGCUAAUACCUGGGACUCAUGACGGUACCUGAAGAAUAAGCACCGGCGAACUACGU
rnacentral:rRNA from 1 species